GAUUCCCCUAGUAACUGCGAGUGAAGCGGGAAAAGCUCAAAUUUGAAAUCUGGCAGUCCUCUGGCUGUCCGAGUUGUAAACUAGAGAAGUGUUACCCGCGUUGGACCGUGUACAAGUCUCCUGGAAUGGAGCGUCAUAGAGGGUGAGAAUCCCGUCUUUGACACGGACUACCAAGGCUUUGUGGUACGCUCUCAAAGAGUCGAGUUGUUUGGGAAUGCAGCUCAAAAUGGGUGGUAAAUGCCAUCUAAAGCUAAAUAUUGGCGAGAGACCGAUAGCGAACAAGUACCGUGAGGGAAAGAUGAAAAGAACUUUGGAAAGAGAGUUAAACAGUACGUGAAAUUGCUGAAAGGGAAACGCUUAAAGUCAGUCGCGUCGGCUUGGAAUCAACCUUGCUUUUGCUGGGUGUACUUCCUUGUCGAUGGGUCAACAUCAGUUUUGACCGGUGGAUAAAGUCAGUCGGAAUGUGGCUCCCUCGGGAGUGUUAUAGCCUUCUGUCGCAUGCAUCGGUUGGGACUGAGGACCGCAGCACGCCGUUAAGGCCUGGUUUCGACCAAGUUCGUGCUUAGGAUGUUGGCAUAAUGGCUUUAAUCGACCCGUCUUGAAACACGGACCAAGGA
rnacentral:rRNA from 1 species